GGAAGGUUGUAGCACGAUGGUAAGACAUCUGCUUUGAAUGCAGAAGGUGCCCGGUUCAACUCCUGGCACUUCCA